rnacentral:rRNA from 1 species
UAGAGUUUGAUCCUGGCUCAGAUUGAACGCUGGCGGCAUGCCUUACACAUGCAAGUCGAACGGCAGCACGGGGGCAACCCUGGUGGCGAGUGGCGAACGGGUGAGUAAUACAUCGGAACGUGUCCUGUAGUGGGGGAUAGCCCGGCGAAAGCCGGAUUAAUACCGCAUACGAUCUAUGGAUGAAAGCGGGGGAUCUUCGGACCUCGUGCUAUAGGGGCGGCCGAUGGCGGAUUAGCUAGUUGGUGGGGUAAAGGCUCACCAAGGCGACGAUCCGUAGCUGGUCUGAGAGGACGACCAGCCACACUGGGACUGAGACACGGCCCAGACUCCUACGGGAGGCAGCAGUGGGGAAUUUUGGACAAUGGGGGCAACCCUGAUCCAGCAAUGCCGCGUGUGUGAAGAAGGCCUUCGGGUUGUAAAGCACUUUUGUCCGGAAAGAAAUCCUAAUGGCUAAUAUCCGUUGGGGAUGACGGUACCGGAAGAAUAAGCACCGGCUAACUACGUGCCAGCAGCCGCGGUAAUACGUAGGGUGCGAGCGUUAAUCGGAAUUACUGGGCGUAAAGCGUGCGCAGGCGGUUCGCUAAGACCGAUGUGAAAUCCCCGGGCUUAACCUGGGAACUGCAUUGGUGACUGGCGGGCUAGAGUAUGGCAGAGGGGGGUAGAAUUCCACGUGUAGCAGUGAAAUGCGUAGAGAUGUGGAGGAAUACCGAUGGCGAAGGCAGCCCCCUGGGCCAAUACUGACGCUCAUGCACGAAAGCGUGGGGAGCAAACA